UUGACUAUCUGGUUGUAAAUUUUUCGCUGUGUCUGGCAACCGUAUAAUUUGUUUUGGUUUUUCGGGAUCCUUGCAAACGUUUUGCUUAUGAAAAUAUUUUCGGCUCGAUUGUCGAAGUGUUUCGCGUUUGAGGAAUCUUUUGGGCCAUAGACCUGGCCAUAAAUAACAAGUUCGUGAGAAGACUGAAAUUAUUCCAAUCCGCAUUGAAAUGACCAUCGUGUCUAGCAUCUAUGAUAUGCUGAAAACAACGGUCAUGCUGAAGAGAUCAGCAUUCAUCGUCCCUGGACCAUCAAUCUGUACAAUCGAAAAGCUCAUCGACCGGAAUUUCAGGAUGGGUUUUUUUUUUACCUGCACACCGUAUUGUGUUCCGGAAUAUCAAUGGCGGAAGUGGACCGAAGAAGCCACUACCAAAGAACUUGUCUUGGUUAUUGAAUAAAUUGAAAAUUUUGAAAUAAGAUGUUGAUUUUUACACAA